CUCAACUUCUAGAUUAUUAUUAUUAAUAAACAAUUGCCAACGCCUCAUAGACAAAAUUAUGGAGCAUCUCCCUCAAAUCUCUUCUUCUCCUAACGGUUCAACGCUUAUGGAUUACGAGUUAAAUCAUCUAUACUGUUAAAUAUCCCAAUUGGAAACACACGACAUGGAAGAGGAAGAGAAUCUAUAAAGCAUAAACGCCAAAUAUUUAUGAAAUUUAUCCAUGUCAGGUGAAGAGCAAUAUGAUACAGUUUUGGUUCUUUAGAUCCUUGAUUUAUUUUAUUAUAUGCUAUGUAAUUUCUGAGUUGUGAUAUUGUUGUCCAGCUAUAGCUGUGUAAUUUCAUGGCAGGGGGGAAUUGUGGAUCCUUUAAAUGAGGCCUCUUUUUGUUAGUUUGAGGGGAAUUACACAUCCUUUUCUGAGAAGCAUAUCCAAAAAUAGCGAUGAGAGUCUAUCGAAAAACAACUCUCUACCUUCACAAAGUAGGGAGGAAUGUCAAUCCAACUGCUAUGGAAAGGAUAACUUGACGAAACAUUUCUUGCGGCAGCAGAGGAAGUUGUUUGAGUUUCCACAUGGAGACCAACAUAUUGUGUGUGAAAUAUGUGGAACCAAGGGGCAUCAUCACACAGAUAAAUGCGCCUACUUUGGAUAGAAUGAAAUGUGAGUUCCAAGACUAUCAACACACUUUCUCAAUCACAAGGGACUAAAAUUUCUUAGAUGUAGUUGAAGUUUUUUUGGUUAAAGUAACAAUUUAUUUCAUUAAUAUAAAAAGCCAUAUAACAAAUUCAUUAAAAGUUCAAGGAGAAAUUCAUAGAUAGCUAGCGACAGUUUUAAACCUUAAGGAUAUCAUUAUAUCAAGUUGUUGUUACGAAAAGAUGACUAUAUCAGUAAUUUGACAGCCUUUUCGACCUCAGUUUAUCAGUAAUUAAAAAAUAUAGACAAAAACAGUUUAUUCAAAAAAUUUUCGUUAUAUUUUGUAUAGUCUUGCCUUCAAAAUUUGUAUUUUUGACGUAAUGAUCAAGCUUUAGAUAAAUUAGAUCAAUCAAUGGUGA